CGGGUGAGUAUGCGUGACCAACUGCCCCAUGCUCCAGAAUAGCUCUUGGAAACGGGUGGUAAUGCUGGAUGCUCCAACUUGACGCAUGUCUUGUUGGGAAAGUGUUUAGUGGCAUGGGAUGGGGUCGCGUCCUAUCAGCUUGUAGGCGGGGUAAUGGCCCACCUAGGCUUCGACGGGUAGCCGGCCUGAGAGGGCGGACGGCCACAUUGGGACUGAGAUACGGCCCAGACUCCUACGGGAGGCAGCAGCC
rnacentral:rRNA from 1 species